GGAGAGAAUAAGAAAAAUAAUUUUUGUAAUUUUAGUAAUUUUUAAUGAAAAUAAAGUAAAGACUAAAGAGAAAAGUACUGUGAAGGAAAGUUGUUAAAACUUUUUAUAGAAGAAGUAAAAUUUUGUGCCUCGUGUAUCAGAAAAAGUUUAUAUAGUUUAAUUACAAUAAGUAUCUCGAAAUAAAAUACAGUAAUUUUUAUAAAAUUUUCUUUUUAGAAAAAAAGAAUUUAAUAUAAAAUUUAAAGUGAAAUGCUAGCUGAGUUUUAUGAUAUCUAGUUUUUUUAAAAAUAAAUUUAAUUUAAUUUUUAUAAAGAAAAAGUUAUAAAAUUAAAUGGUAGGGGGGAUUAGCUCUUUACGGAAAAGAUAAUGAAAUAGUUAAAUAAAAGUAAAUUAUAUAUAAAUUAGGCUUAGAAGUAGCUAUAUUGAAAAAGUGUUUUAACUAAAUUAUAAUUGCUUGAAUAUUUAAAAUAAAACUUUUCUUAGGUAUAAAAAAAUGGCUUAAACAAAACAAAACAAGAUAUGAUGAUUUUAUUAGUAAAAUUUAUUGAGUAAAUAAAGAUAUUAAAAGGUAAAAAUUGUUUAAAAAAAUAAGUA
rnacentral:rRNA from 1 species